AGCGAACGCUGGCGGCAUGCCUAACACAUGCAAGUCGAACGAGACCUUCGGGUCUAGUGGCGCACGGGUGCGUAACGCGUGGGAACCUGCCCUUAGGUUCGGAAUAACUCCCCGAAAGGGGUGCUAAUACCGGAUAAUGUCUUCGGACCAAAGAUUUAUCGCCUUUGGAUGGGCCCGCGUUGGAUUAGCUAGUUGGUAGGGUAAAAGCCUACCAAGGCGACGAUCCAUAGCUGGUCUGAGAGGAUGAUCAGCCACACUGGGACUGAGACACGGCCCAGACUCCUACGGGAGGCAGCAGUGGGGAAUAUUGGACAAUGGGCGAAAGCCUGAUCCAGCAAGGCCGCGUGAGUGAUGAAGGCCUUAGGGUUGUAAAGCUCUUUUACCCGGGAUGAUAAUGACAGUACCGGGAGAAUAAACUCCGGCUAACUCCGU
rnacentral:rRNA from 1 species